rnacentral:lncRNA from 1 species
GUGCAGUGCCCUCUUCAGCAGCCUCUUCUUCCAAACUAGGAGGAGCGAUGCUACUCAAGUCCAAAUUUAGAUAUAACUUUUCAACCGCAUCUCGACCGUCCUCAUAUCCGACACAGUAGGAGGUGAAUCCGCCCUUGAGAAUCUCCUUCUUGAAUUCUUUCGAAUACUUGAAGUUCUCGAUAGCCAGACUCAAGGCAUCUCUUGCCGACUU